AGGUGGAGAAACGGAUUUUUCUGAGGGUGUUGGAAAGGGUUGCAGAAGAAAAGUUUAAGGAUGAGUUGAUUUCCCAGGAUAAGAAAACCUGAGUUGCUCUCUGGAACAUUAUUUCAUGAUAUUAUGCCCUAUGUUUUUGUAUGUUUCUGGUUAGGGUGGACCACAAGGGAGAUUCUUGGAAGAUUUGGAGGAUGGAAAGGAAGGAGCAGCAUUUUGUAUUCAUGUAUGUUGUUGCUGACUUGCUGACUUACCUUAUUGGUGUGAAGCAUCGGAAGGACCUGAACGUACUCGGCCUUUCCCUGGAUCCUCUUUUAGCUUCUCCAACUUCUCAACCUGGAUUAUGUAUUUAGCUUUGUAAUGAAGGGCCCUGACUUUUACAGGAUAACCUCAGCACCAAGGUCAGAGGUAGCAGAACUGACCUGGUUUGCAGUCUGUCCUCAUGAGAUCCCAGUUCAUGCUAGUGGUUUCUCAUCUGACCUCAGUCUUCCCCAGUUUACAGCCAUUGUCCUGGCCCAGUUACCCACUCAAUUUUAAGCUCCAGCACCAGACCCAGAGGCAAAAAUCUUACAGAAAAAUGCUUAACCAGCUUUGACAAUUGGGUGAAGGAAAUCAACGAUUCCUAUCUGAAUUUCAGAAAGAAGUCCUGGUCAAGGAUUUUGUUAAGUAUUCUUGGCCAUUGCCUAUUUCUGUUUCACAUAACCAGCCUCAAUGUCCACGAAUGAUAUUUUUCAUUAGCAGUUAAACUAAAUUGCAAGAUGAGGACUGUUACCCCGAGGUAUCGUGUAUCUCUCUGAUGGUAUGGAAACUUCUGUUAGGGAAAAGGGGACAACAGCGGCAGCCUGAACUUAUCAGAGCUCUACCUCCUAUUGUAGACUCACAUGCAUUUGCAAGUCAACUGUGUCAAGUCUGUCUUCUCUUAUAAUUUUCUUCAAAUAAAUGAGUACGUCAUUUUCUUAUUUACCAUGUUUAUUACAAAGGAGCCAUACA